CCUACGGGGGGCUGCAGUGGGGAAUAUUGGACAAUGGGGGGAACCCUGAUCCAGCCAUGCCGCGUGUGUGAAGAAGGCCCUCGGGUUGUAAAGCACUUUCAGUGAGGAAGAACGCCUGGUGGUUAAUACCCAUCAGGAAAGACAUCACUCACAGAAGAAGCACCGGCUAACUCCGUGCCAGCAGCCGCGGUAAUACGGAGGGUGCGAGCGUUAAUCGGAAUUACUGGGCGUAAAGCGCGCGUAGGUGGCUUGAUAAGCCGGUUGUGAAAGCCCCGGGCUCAACCUGGGAACGGCAUCCGGAACUGUCAAGCUAGAGUGCAGGAGAGGAAGGUAGAAUUCCCGGUGUAGCGGUGAAAUGCGUAGAGAUCGGGAGGAAUACCAGUGGCGAAGGCGGCCUUCUGGACUGACACUGACAUUGAGGUGCGAAAGCGUGGGUAGCAAACAGGAUUAGAUACCCUGGUAGUC
rnacentral:rRNA from 1 species